rnacentral:tRNA from 1 species
UGCCGAGGUAGUCUAGUCCGGGAAGGCGGUGGCCUCGAAAGCCACUGGUGCCUGGCACCUCGGGAGUUCAAAUCUCCCCCUCGGCGUCC